AUGCUAACGCCUGCAUACAGACCGCUUGUUAAAGUCGCCAAACCAGUUCACAAACAAAUUCAAGUGUGGCCGGAAGGGUCGUCAGACGCUCUUCAGGACUGUUUUGACACAACUGACUGGAAUAUGUUUAAGCAGGCUGACACAUACAAUAACACCACAGACCUUCAAGAGUACUCAGAGACUGUCACUGCCUACAUCAGCAAGUGUAUUGAGGAUGUAACAGUCACAAAGACCAUCACUGUCCGGGCCAACCAGAAGCCGUGGAUGACAGGGGAGGUCUAUAGACUCCUGAAGAUGCCGAACGCUGCCUUCAGAGCUGGAGAUGAGGUGGGGCUGAGGACAGCUAGGGCCAAUCUAUCCCGCGGCAUCAGAGAGGCUAAGAGACAGUACUCCAGGAGGAUAGCCCAUCGUUUCAGCAACAGCAGAGACACUCGGAGCCUGUGGCAGGGGAUACAGACCAUUACGGACUACAAGUCCCCACUUCAGACCUGUGACAGCAACAUCUCUCUGCUGAACGAGCUGAACGCCUUCUUCGCUCCCUUUGAGGAACAAAACAGCACCACUGCACAGAAGACUCCACCCCCUCCUGGUGAUCAGGUGAUGACGCUGACCCCGGACAGCGUGAGGAGAUCCUUCAGCAGGAUCAACGCACACAAAGCUCCGGGUCCUGACAACAUUCCUGGGCGUGUACUGAGAGACUGUGCAGUGGAACUUACUGAUGUCUUCACAGACAUUUUCAACAUCUCGCUUAGUCAGGCUGUUGUUCCCACAUGCUUCAAAGCUACCUCCAUCAUUCCAGUCCCGAAGAAGCCAUCUCCAUCCUGCCUCAAUGACUACCGUCCUGUUGCACUUACUCCCAUCCUCAUGAAGUGCUUCGAGCGGCUAGUCAUGCACCAUAUCAAGUCUACCCUCCCCCCCUCCCUGGACCCAUUCCAGUUUGCAUAUCGGUCCAACCGGUCGGCCGAUGAUGCCAUCUCAACUACCCUCCACUCAGCACUCACACACCUAGAGAAAAAAGACUCAUAA
ensembl:lncRNA